rnacentral:rRNA from 1 species
UACAGAGGUCCCAAGCGUUGUUCGGAUUCAUUGGGCGUAAAGGGUGCGUAGGUGGCGUGGUAAGUCGGGUGUGAAAUUUCGGAGCUUAACUCCGAAACUGCAUUCGAUACUGCCGUGCUUGAGGACUGGAGAGGAGACUGGAAUUUACGGUGUAGCAGUGAAAUGCGUAGAGAUCGUAAGGAAGACCAGUGGCGAAGGCGGGUCUCUGGACAGUUCCUGACACUGAGGCCCGAAGGCCAGGGGAGCAAACGGG